GUUGAGUUGAGUUGAGUUGUAUUCAGAUUAUCAAAGCCAUGAAUAAGCAUUUUCGCACUGCAUUUCAAUGAGAAAAAAAUGGUAAGAUCUUUAUAAGCAGGCUCUGCCUUCUUCUUAUAAUUUCUUUUUCUCUUUUAAUUUUUUUUUCUUUUUGAUUUUUUCUCUAGGUAUCCAUCGGUAAGUAUUUUCACUAAUGGCAAUUAUCUCUUUUAUUUUUUUUUAACAAUUCUCAAAUAUAUAUCCAUUUAGAACAGAUUUUAGAUAUAUCUCAUUAAAUUUAUCAUUAUUAAUAUAUUUUUGAGUGAAUAAAUCCCCAUAUCUAUUCUUAGAUCUUGAGUUUUUGCAAUUUUUCUUUCCUUUAAUAAAGAUUUUAUUUAUUUUAUUGUUGAAAUAUUUAAAAAAAAAAACACUCUAAGAAGUGCAGAUUCUUUUGUCAGCAGGGGAUCUAAAUUCAUCAUUCUUCAUUUGUGUAGGAAUCUAGUUUGAGCGUUUUGCUAUAAAUUUGGAAAUGCUCAUCAACUAUCAACUUUUAGGCUUUAUGAUAAUGAUGUUUAGGGGCGAGAGAAAGUGUUCAGCAAAUUCCUCAAAUUACAAUUCAUCCACUUAAAAGUAACAGCAAUCUCCAUCCAAAAAUGAAAAGUUAAAUUCAAAUAAUAAAUUUUAAAAAUUUCAAGAACAAAUUGCAAUUCAAUCUCAAAACAAAUCACAAUAUCAUCAGCUAAUUUUUAUCCAACAUACUUGAACUUUGGGGAUUAUAUCAGCACCGUCUUUAAACUUUGAAACUUGUAUCAGCACCAUCUUUGAAUUUCAAUUUGUAUCAUAAAAGUUAUCUAACUUUAAUUUUAUAUUAGUUAAAGUCUUUCUGACCUGAUUCUGCCAUGCUGACAUUAACACAAUAAAAAAAAUUUCCCCCUUUGAGAUGUGACGUUUUAAUAAUAAAAAUUGAUUUUCUCUAUUAUCUCUCUAUCCUCUCUAUCUCCCUUCAUUCCAUAUGAUAAUCCAAAAUCAAUAAUAAAUCAAACCACAUGUGUUCCAAUCAAACCCAAAACACACAAAAAGAAAA
rnacentral:misc_RNA from 1 species